UCUCCGUUGGUGAACCAGCGGAGGUAUCAUUACCGAGUGCAAACUCAUAACCCUUUGUGAACCUAUAUCUGUUGCUUCGGCGGCUCGCUCUCGGGCGAGCCCGCCGGUAAUAUCAGUAUCUCUGUUUGAACCCGACGAUACUUCUGAGUGUUCUUAGCGAACAGUUAAAACUUUUAACAACGGAUCUCUUGGCUCUU
rnacentral:misc_RNA from 1 species